rnacentral:rRNA from 1 species
GGCGAACGCUGGCGGCGCGCCUAACACAUGCAAGUCGAACGAACCCUUCGGGGUUAGUGGCUGACGGGUGAGUAACGCGUGGAUAAUGUGCCUUUUUGCUGGGGAUACCGCUCUGAAAGGAACGUUAAUACCGAAUGUGCUCGUAUGGCGGCAUCGCCGAGCGAGUAAACUUUUAGGGUGAAGAGAGCAGUUCGCGUUCUUUCAGCUAGUUGGUGGGGUCACGGCCCACCAAGGCUACGACGGAUAACUGGUCUGGGAGGAUGACCAGUCACACUGGAACGGGGACACGGUCCAGACUCCAUCGUGAGGCAUCAGUGAAGGAUCUUUCACGAUGGGCGAAAGCCUGAAGCAGCGACGCCGCGUGGGAAACGUAGGUCGUCGGGUUGGAAACCUCUGUCAGUAUGGAAGAAGAAUGACGGUACCUACUGAGGAAGCGUCGGCUAACUACGUG